UACGACUACAUAUCAGGCAUAUCAAUAAGCGGAGGAAAAGGAACUAACAAGGAUUCCCUUAGUAACGGCGAGUGAAGCGGGAAGAGCUCAAAUUUGAAAUCUUCAAGGUUUUACCUUGACGAAUUGUAGUUUAAAGAAGUGUUUUCUGUUGAAGUUUCGGUAAAAGUUCUUUGGAAUAGGACAUCAUAGAGGGUGAGAAUCCCGUAUUUGACCGUUAUUUUCAGCUGUGUGAUACACUUUCAAAGAGUCGGAUUGUUUGGGAAUGCAGUCCAAAAUGGGUGGUAAAUUUCAUCUAAAGCUAAAUAUUGGCGAGAGACCGAUAGCGAACAAGUACCGUGAGGGAAAGAUGAAAAGAACUUUGAAAAGAGAGUUAAACAGUACGUGAAAUUGUCAAAAGGGAAGCGUUUGACACCAGUGUUGUUUUCUCGAAAAUCAAUUAAGAAAGAUUGGAUUUUGUGUUGUAUUGACUUUAUCAGCUUUCUGCACUCUUUUCUUGUCUUUUUUAAUGCACUUUUCGUUUAACAAGUCAACAUCAAUUUCUUUUGUUGUAAAAGAGUCAUUGGAAGGUGGCUUUCACUUCGGUGAAAGUGUUUAUAGCCUUUGACUUCUGCAAUCGGAGAGAUUGAGGUCUGCAGCGUAGAUCCUUCGGGGUUAGAUACGUAGAUGCUAAGUUAUAGUUUUUCAUAGACAACUUGUUGACUAUGAUUAAUCAUGUAGCUUACUCGUUUGCGCUAUUUUACCUACGCUUAGGAUGUUGACGCGCGUGUGUGCGU
rnacentral:rRNA from 1 species